GCAACAGGUUUCCCCAUGGUGAGUCUUCUGGCUCUGCAACCGUGGAGACACCCAGGGAUGUAAACAGCAACGAGAAAAGGCCACUUGUGCCACUAUUAGGUUUUGCGGUGCUCCUGUCUGUCCUGUCUGAAGACAAGUUCCUUCAGGCUGCAGACCACUGCAGCCUCAAGAGCUGGGACGGUUAGAAGGAGGUAGCAAAGCCCCGAGCCUGGUGCCACUCCUGCCUGCGACAGGCCCUUGGAUCCACUGAGACCUCGGUCACCUUUGCUCCAGGCUGGGGUUGUCCACCUCCCAGCCGGACUCCUGAACCUUUCUCUAAAAAGAAAAUGUUCUCGGGGCGCCUGGGUGGCUCAGUCAGUUAAGCAUCCGACU